GAUGAACGCUGGCGGCGUGCCUAAUACAUGCAAGUAGAACGCACAGUUUAUACCGUAGCUUGCUACACCAUAGACUGUGAGUUGCGAACGGGUGAGUAACGCGUAGGUAACCUGCCUGGUAGCGGGGGAUAACUAUUGGAAACGAUAGCUAAUACCGCAUAAUAUUGAUUAUUGCAUGAUAAUUGAUUGAAAGAUGCUAUUGCAUCACUACCAGAUGGACCUGCGUUGUAUUAGCUAGUAGGUGAGGUAACGGCUCACCUAGGCGACGAUACAUAGCCGACCUGAGGAGGUGGUCGGCCAAACUGGGACUGAGACACGGCCCAGACUCCUACGGGAGGCAGCAGUAGGGAAUCUUCGGCAAUGGACGAAAGUCUGACCGAGCAACGCCGCGUGAGUGAAGAAGGGUUUCGGAUCGUAAAGCUCUGUUGUAAGAGAAGAACGGGUGUGAGAGUGGAAAGUUCACACUGUGACAGUAUCUUACCAGAAAGGGACGGCUAACUACGUG
rnacentral:rRNA from 1 species